rnacentral:lncRNA from 10 species
UGGGACUAUAGGUGCAUGCCACCAUGCCCGACUAAUUUUUGUAUUUUUAGUAGAGACGGGGUUUUUCCAUGUUGGCCAGACUGGUCUCGAACUCCUGACCUCAGGUGGUAGACUCGCCUCAGCUUCCCAAAGUGGUGGGAUUACAGGCGUGAAGCACCGCGCUGGGCUAGGAAUUUGGUUUUAUGGUCUGAUCACAUGGUGAUCUCUGUAAUGAGAUUAAUGUUUGCAAAGACCUAAUCUCUGUUGGGUGAGAGACAUCAGAGUCUGAUUUGUUAUUCUAUUUCUCUGUCUAUUUUGAGCUGAAAUCAAUUAAGAAUUUCAUGCCCACUGGGAGGAGAAGAGCUCUUUCAUAUCUGGAAGGCCAGACGUGCCUGCUUCCACUUCGCCUUCUGCCAUGACUGUCCGUUUCCUGAGGCCUCCCCAGCCAUGCUUCCUGUACGGCCUG